rnacentral:tRNA from 1 species
AUCUACGCGACCGGGGGUAGCGUCCGCCCUCCGGAGGCGGGAGCGCAGGUUCGAAUCCUGCCGGGGGCACCA